UACGGGGGGGGGCAAGCGUUGUUCGGAAUUACUGGGCGUAAAGGGCGCGUAGGCGGUCUCUUAAGUCUGAUGUGAAAGCCCACGGCUCAACCGUGGAGGGUCAUUGGAAACUGGGAGACUUGAGUGUAGGAGAGGAAAGUGGAAUUCCACGUGUAGCGGUGAAAUGCGUAGAGAUGUGGAGGAACACCAGUGGCGAAGGCGACUUUCUGGCCUAUAACUGACGCUGAGGCGCGAAAGCGUGGGGAGCAAACAGG
rnacentral:rRNA from 1 species